UCGGGAAUUUUGGGCAAUGGGCGAAAGCCUGACCCAGCAACGCCGCGUGAAGGAUGAAGUAUUUCGGUAUGUAAACUUCGUAAGAAUAGGAAGAAUAAAUGACGGUACUAUUUGUAAGGUCCGGCUAACUACGUGCCAGCAGCCGCGGUAAUACGUAGGGACCAAGCGUUGUUCGGAUUUACUGGGCGUAAAGGGCGCGUAGGCGGUGUGUCAAGUCAGUUGUGAAAUCUCCGAGCUUAACUCGGAACGGUCAACUGAUACUGUCACACUAGAGUACAGAAGGGGCAAUCGGAAUUCUUGGUGUAGCGGUGAAAUGCGUAGAUAUCAAGAGGAACACCUGAGGCGAAGGCGGGUUGCUGGGCUGAUACUGACGCUGAGGCGCGAAAGCUAGGGUAGCAAACGGGAUUAGAUACCCGAGUAGUCCCUGAGCGGGCUGGCAAGGCGCAU
rnacentral:rRNA from 1 species